UGAAAGGUCCUCUAGAAUGCAUGCCAGGCUGCUUCGUCUCUAUAAUGCAAAAACCAAGCACCUAAAGAACAACUAGCCAAGUCUAUAAAACCUACACUGUAAUAAACUUAAUUUCAUUUUAUUCGUUUGGUUUUUCCAUAUACCAAACAAGUUUUUCAAAGGUGAUCUCAACAAUGAGUUGCUGCCACAAUCAUUAUCCAGCUCCUGCAGCAGGAUAUCCACCGCCAACUUGUUCACAGCAGCCACCUUUUUAUCCUCCACAACCGCCUUGUUCACAGCAGCCACCUUGUUAUCCACCACAAACGCCUUGUCCACAGCAGCCACAACAUAACUGUCAAGCCCAUCAUUGUGCCGCACCUCCUCAAGAGAAACCUAAUAGCGGAAAUUGUUGUGCUGUAUUACGUGGCUGCUGCUGCUUGGUCUCUAUUAUUGCAAGCUGCGCGGGAUUUUUUAUGGGGUAAGAGACCAAGACAAUUGAAAUAAUGGAUAUGAGAUAGAAUAAGAGAUGAGGACACGUUAUUUUUAAUAUAUAUGUUACUAUGAAGAUUUGAUAAUAAAUAGCAAACACUAAGAUCAUGAAACACCGUUUACUAAAA